rnacentral:rRNA from 1 species
AUUGAACGCUGGCGGCAUGCCUUACACAUGCAAGUCGAACGGCAGCACGGGAGCAAUCCUGGUGGCGAGUGGCGAACGGGUGAGUAAAGUAUCGGAACGUGCCCAGUCGGGGGGGAUAACGUAGCGAAAGUGACGCUAAGACCGCAUACGAUCUUUGGAGGAAAGCGUGGGAUCGCAAGACCUCGUGCGAUUGGAGCGGCCGAUAUCGGAUGAGGUAGUUGGGGGGGUAAAGGCUCACCAAGCCGACGAUCUGUAGCUGGUCUGAGAGGAGGACCAGCCACACUGGGACUGAGACACGGCCCAGACUCCUACGGGAGGCAGCAGUGGGGAAUUUUGGACAAUGGGCGAAAGCCUGAUCCAGCCAUGCCGCGUGCAGGAUGAAGGCCUUCGGGUUGUAAACUGCUUUUGUACGGAACGAAAAGGUUUGGCCUAAUAAGCUGAGCUCAUGACGGUACCGUAAGAAUAAGCACCGACUAACUACGUGCCAGCAGCCGCCGUAAGAC